rnacentral:rRNA from 1 species
UACAGAGGGUGCAAGCGUUAAUCGGAAUUACUGGGCGUAAAGGGUGUGUAGGUGGUUAGGUAAGUUAGAUGUGAAAUCCCCGGGCUCAACCUGGGAAUUGCGUUUAAAACUGUUUAGCUAGAGUAUUGUAGAGGAUAGUGGAAUUUCCAGUGUAGCGGUGAAAUGCGUAGAUAUUGGAAGGAACACCAGUGGCGAAGGCGACUAUCUGGGCAAAUACUGACACUGAGACACGAGAGCAUGGGGAGCAAAC